rnacentral:misc_RNA from 1 species
GUACGUUUGAGCACGAUGAGCAGCACGGCGCAACUCCUCGUUCAA